UGGGGAAUUUUGCACAAUGGGGGAAACCCUGAUGCAGCGACGCCGCGUGAUUUAGAAGGCCUUCGGGUUGUAAAAAUCUUUUCUAUGGGAAGAGAAUGACAGUACCAUAGGAAUAAGGACCGGCUAAUUACGUGCCAGCAGCCGCGGUAAUACGUAAGGUCCGAGCGUUGUCCGGAAUCAUUGGGCGUAAAGGGUACGUAGGCGGGUAAGCAAGUUAGAAGUGAAAUCCUAUAGCUCAACUAUAGUAAGCUUUUAAAACUGCUCAUCUUGAGGUAUGGAAGGGAAAGUGGAAUUCCUAGUGUAGCGGUGAAAUGCGCAGAUAUUAGGAGGAAUACCGGUGGCGAAGGCGACUUUCUGGCCAUAACCUGACGCUGAGGUACGAAAGCGUGGGUAGCAAACAGG
rnacentral:rRNA from 1 species